GUCGAACGGGAAAUAUUUCAUUGAGACUUCGGUGGAUUUGAUCUAUUUCUAGUGGCGGACGGGUGAGUAACGCGUGGGUAACCUGCCUUAUACAGGGGGAUAACAGUCAGAAAUGGCUGCUAAUACCGCAUAAGCGCACAGAGCUGCAUGGCUCAGUGUGAAAAACUCCGGUGGUAUAAGAUGGACCCGCGUUGGAUUAGCUAGUUGGUGGGGUAACGGCCCACCAAGGCGACGAUCCAUAGCCGGCCUGAGAGGGUGAACGGCCACAUUGGGACUGAGACACGGCCCAGACUCCUACGGGAGGCAGCAGUGGGGAAUAUUGCACAAUGGGGGAAACCCUGAUGCAGCGACGCCGCGUGAAGGAAGAAGUAUCUCGGUAUGUAAACUUCUAUCAGCAGGGAAGAUAGUGACGGUACCUGACUAAGAAGCCCCGGCUAACUACGUGCCAGCAGCCGCGGUAAUACGUAGGGGGCAAGCGUUAUCCGGAUUUACUGGGUGUAAAGGGAGCGUAGACGGUGUGGCAAGUCUGAUGUGAAAGGCAUGGGCUCAACCUGUGGACUGCAUUGGAAACUGUCAUACUUGAGUGCCGGAGGGGUAAGCGGAAUUCCUAGUGUAGCGGUGAAAUGCGUAGAUAUUAGGAGGAACACCAGUGGCG
rnacentral:rRNA from 1 species